AACGAACGCUGGCGGCAGGCUUAACACAUGCAAGUCGAGCGCCCCGCAAGGGGAGCGGCAGACGGGUGAGUAACGCGUGGGAAUCUACCCAUCUCUACGGAAUAACGCAUGGAAACGUGUGCUAAUACCGUAUACGUCCUUCGGGAGAAAGAUUUAUCGGAGAUGGGUGAGCCCGCGUUGGAUUAGCUAGUUGGUGGGGUAAAGGCCUACCAAGGCGACGAUCCAUAGCUGGUCUGAGAGGAUGAUCAGCCACACUGGGACUGAGACACGGCCCAGACUCCUACGGGAGACAGCAGUGGGGAAUAUUGGACAAUGGGCGCAAGCCUGAUCCAGCCAUGCCGCGUGAGUGAUGAAGGCCCUAGGGUUGUAAAGCUCUUUCACCGGUGAAGAUAAUGACGGUAACCGGAGAAGAAGCCCCGGCUAACUUCGUGCCAGCCGCCGCAGUAACAC
rnacentral:rRNA from 1 species